AUACGGAGGGGGCUAGCGUUGUUCGGAAUUACUGGGCGUAAAGCGCACGUAGGCGGUUUGUUCAGUCAGAGGUGAAAUGCCCGGGCUCAACCUGGGAAUUGCCUUUGAGACGGAUAGACUAGAGUCCGGGAGAGGGUGGCGGAAUUCCCAGUGUAGAGGUGAAAUUCGUAGAUAUUGGGAAGAACACCGGUGGCGAAGGCGGCCAUCUGGACCGGUACUGACGCUAAGGCGCGAAAGCGUGGGGAGCAAACAGGAUUAGAAACCCCGGUAGUCC
rnacentral:rRNA from 1 species